AAACCAUGCAUAGGGCAUUUGUGCAACAAAUCUUUAAAUCGCUCCCAAGCUUCAUACAAAAUUUUAAUCCUCUAAUUGCUUGAAAGAUGCGAUGUCAUUCCUCAUUCA